UAUUGUAUACGAUUCAGUGUAUAAAAAUUAUGUGUAAAAAAGGUUGUUUUUUUCAUGUUAGUUUUGUAGUUUCUACAAAACAAAUACUUUUUCUGCACUAAAUAUUUUUAUUUUAAAAUUAAUAAAAAAAACACUUUUCUGCACAAGUUUUUUUACACAGAAUUUUUAUACACCAAAUUCUUGUAUAAAAAAAAAAAAUUCAGUGUUACAUUUUUUUUUUUCUGUACCUUGGAUUUAUACACACUGAAUUUUAAACACAUUUUGCUCACAAAUGUUUACUCGAUGAAAUUGUCAGCAUCAUUUCAUGUCAAUGAAUUGAAACCUAAAAAAAAUGCAGUUGCAGAAAUGGAGUGUGAGCAAAAGCUUUGGCCACCAGGACACAAACGGACGUGCGGCGUAAAAAGCAAACCAAAUGAAAAGAGGAUUUACCAAAGUUUGUUGCAUCCAAGAAUACUUUUCUAGUGUAAAUGUGCUGCACAUUUCUACAUUUCUACCUGCAGACGGACGCCUGAAGUCAUCAUUUCCCUCCUCCUGCAUCCUCCUCGUAGCUUUCUCAAAGAUUUCAUGCCACUGUCUCCCAGCGCAGAGCAGAAGACGACCACGGUGAUAAAGAUAAAGAAGUGUGCGGCCCUCAGUGGAAAAAGUUUGGACACCCCUGCUGUAUGUGCACCUGUCACUCACCUCACCUGCAACAUCAACAUCACCGCAAUGCAGAAAUGUGCAAUUAUUGAUGUCGGUCCUAAACAACUCCAACACAAAAUUGAGUUUUACUGGGAAUGAUUUUGUAUUUGUUUAUGUUUUGUAUUGACUUUGUCCGUGCUCGACCAAAGCUCUCUUUAUUAUGCACACUGUACAGAAAAAUCACUUCAUGAUGUUGACAAUCUUUCAAAAAAAAAAAAAAAAAAAUGACAGCAGGUUUUACCUCACAUGUCUUUUUUAGUUGUAUUCAUUUUUGUCUUGCGUCCUGAAAAUAACUUUGUUUGCUCUUUAUCAGACUUGGAAAUUGAAAUUAUUGUCUCUCAACUAAUUGAUUUUUAUGUCAGCAGUCUCGAAACCAAAGCCCAACAUUUUUUCUAAAAUGAAAUGUAAUUAUUAUUGAUAUAUGGCGCAGUAUGUUUGGUCAGUUUUGAGCUGCACUCUUGUGUUUUUUUUAAGCUUCAAGUCCGCCUCACUGAUUUGUACCAUACAAUUAGUAAUAAACAACUUGUUUGA